AACGCACCUUGCGCUCCUUGGUAUUCCGAGGAGCAUGCCUGUUUGAGUGUCAUUAAAUUCUCAACUUCACCGAUUUGCUUCAAGUGAAGCUUGGACUUGGAGUGUGCUGGCCCCUGGGGGGGUCGGCUCCUCUUUAAAUGCAGCAGCGGGAGGCAUCUUUGACUCUCUGGCGUCGGUGUGAUAAUCGUGUUGCGCCAUUGGGCCGAGGUCUCAGUCCGCUUACAAUGGUCUCAGGACGACGAUUGAAACAUUUGACCUCAAAUCAGGUAGGACUACCCGCUGAACUUAA
rnacentral:misc_RNA from 1 species